AGCACUUUAUACUGUGAAACUGCGAAUGGGCUCAUUAAAUCAGUUAUCGUUUAUUUGAUAGUACCUUACUACAUGGAUACCUGUGGUAAUUCUAGAGCUAAUACAUGCUAAAAACCCCGACUUCAGGAAGGGGUGUAUUUAUUAGAUAAAAAACCAACGCCCUUCGGGGCUCCUUGGUGAAUCAUAAUAACUUAACGAAUCGCAUGGCCUUGCGCCGGCGAUGGUUCAUUCAAAUUUCUGCCCUAUCAACUUUCGAUGGUAGGAUAGUGGCCUACCAUGGUGGCAACGGGUAACGGGGAAUUAGGGUUCGAUUCCGGAGAGGGAGCCUGAGAAACGGCUACCACAUCCAAGGAAGGCAGCAGGCGCGCAAAUUACCCAAUCCCGAUACGGGGAGGUAGUGACAAUAAAUACUGAUACGGGGCUCUUUUGGGUCUCGUAAUUGGAAUGAGAACAAUUUAAAUCCCUUAACGAGGAACAAUUGGAGGGCAAGUCUGGUGCCAGCAGCCGCGGUAAUUCCAGCUCCAAUAGCGUAUAUUAAAGUUGUUGCAGUUAAAAAGCUCGUAGUUGAACCUUGGGUCUGGCUGGCCGGUCCGCCUCACCGCGAGUACUGGUCCGGCUGGACCUUUCCUUCUGGGGAACCCCAUGGCCUUCACUGGCUGUGGGGGGAACCANGACUUUUACUGUGAAAAAAUUANAGUGNUCAAAGCANNCCUUUGCUCGAAUACAUUANCAU
rnacentral:rRNA from 1 species